ACUCCUGCGGGAGGCAGCAGUGGGGAAUAUUGCACAAUGGGCGCAAGCCUGAUGCAGCGACGCCGCGUGGGGGAUGAAGGCCUUCGGGUUGUAAACUCCUUUCGCUAGGGACGAAGCUUUUUUGUGACGGUACCUAGAUAAGAAGCACCGGCUAACUACGUGCCAGCAGCCGCGGUAAUACGUAGGGUGCGAGCGUUGUCCGGAAUUACUGGGCGUAAAGGGCUCGUAGGUGGUUUGUCGCGUCGUCUGUGAAAUUCUGGGGCUUAACUCCGGGCGUGCAGGCGAUACGGGCAUAACUUGAGUGCUGUAGGGGUAACUGGAAUUCCUGGUGUAGCGGUGAAAUGCGCAGAUAUCAGGAGGAACACCGAUGGCGAAGGCAGGUUACUGGGCAGUUACUGACGCUGAGGAGCGAAAGCAUGGGUAGCGAACAGGAUUAGAAACCCCAGUAGUCCC
rnacentral:rRNA from 1 species